UAUAGGUGUUUAGGAUUGAGGAACUGGAAGGAGCUGCCUUAACACCACAUAGUCAGCUGCAUCCUGUACAGGCCAGGCACUUUAGGCAAUUACACAGGUAUUGCAUGUUAUGUUGGGCUGUUACUCCACCUAUCCUAAGAGAACAAACAGCUGACCGGAGGGGAAGAAGAAAGCAAACGUCUUGGAAAAUAGAGCUAAAAGGGAAUUCAAAUUAUUGGAGAUAGUUUCAUGAAUGAUCUCCAGCUAUGAAUGAAGACUUUCCCCUUUUGAAGGCCACAAAAUGAAGUGAUGAAUGGAAAGCAUUAUUAUGCCAGUUUCCACAUGGUGCCUGUCUGAACUGUCAAAUGGAAGAGCAGCUGAGGAGGUACCAGGGGGAAGCUGCCAACAACUAGACCCGUGGAGAGUCAUCCAUUGACCCCAAGCUACCACCAUCCAGCAAAAGGCAUGAGUUACAACAGAGCGCAAAAGAACUGAGACCAGGCUGUGCUAACAGGUAGCUGUAUAAUGAGCAAAGGUACCUUAGGCCACAUGGAUGGAGUUCUGCUUGUUUUCAUAGCAACAUUUUAAAAAAAGAUUGUUAUUUGUUUUUUGUACCAGAACUUACUCUUGUACACACUCCAGAAAAGAUGAUCAGGGUAGAAAUAACCAAGUAUUUUCAAGACACAACACUGUAUGCACUAGCAGUCAAAGAAGCAUGAAAUAAACAGCACCUCAAGCAUUUGAAAUAAGAUAUCCUUACCACAGCAUGAAAAAAAAAAAAAAAAACAUGUGAACUCAUCUAGUGACUUUGCCAUCUGAAAAAAGUCAGCAGAUUGUCAAGAGAUCAAUGACUCAGAUGUCUCCCUAAUUUUGCUAGAUGACCUGGCAAGGUUUACAGAAAUUCCAAUUACCAGAAGCCAUUCAAGCACUCUCUGGUAAUAAUUAUAUCCUCCACUACCUAGUAGAUGGUACUGAGCAGCAGGAAAUUGGAGGAAACAGAUAACUCUAAAUCAGAUUCUAAUUCUUUAAAAUUUGGUAAACAUUUCAAGGAAAAAAUGGCUACUUCCAGAUGAUUGCCCUGGAACCCCAUGAAUAAAGAUAAACAUUAAGCAUUCUCAUCAAUACACAAUAAAUGAAAACACAGCAGAAAUACAAUCACCUAUUGGACAUCUUAAUAAUGUUGUUAGACCAGGUAUUUCUCAUCACUAUGGUUUGAGCAGGUAUAGGAUUUUGUUUCCUACUUGGUCAUUAUGGCCUCAUUCCAACAUUUUAAUGUUUAAAUGAGUCUUUAUCUUUCUGUCCCAGAGAACCAGCUAGUUAAUGGUUGAAUAGUAAUUCUAAUAUGUUGAACAAAGUAGAUUAUGAUCAUCAUCAUUUAAAAUCAUCCCAUAAAUGCUUUAUCACCAUUGUGUAAUAAUGUAGCUUUAGAGUGUGUUUUGGCAAAGCUUGCACUUCCAAUCCAUUGUUAACCUGGCAUCAAAGCAAGAGAGUCAUUAAGGAAAUUGCUUAAAUGCUUUAUCUGGCUGUUAAUAUAUGCAAUAUAAGAGUGGUCAUCAUCGACUAAUUACAGUAACAAAUAUGAUAGCAUAAAUCUGAUGAGACAGUGAGAUUUAUAGAGUCAAUACAUGUGGAUAAAAGAGGGUAGGAUGAGUCUAAAUUCAUUAAGCACUGGGGAACUGUGGGAAGAGGGAAGAUCCUGGGUGGUAAGUAUUGGAAUUGUUCAGCAAAUGGCACCAAUGUCAUUUUGUAGGGCUACAGACCUUUUACACCUUUUACUAAUAGUGUAUCAGCUUUGUAACAGUGAUAUAGCAGCUGUCCAGCCUUACAAAGACAGGCAGCAUCCAUGAGGAUAUUAGUCACAAGGGAUCCUUGGGUAAAUAACCUCAUCAGGGAAGGUGCCAGCCUAUAAGUGAAUGUCCUGGUAAAUCUUGAGUGCUCCUGCACAAAGCAACCUCAUCCAUACUGACUAAUGAGAACCGUCUCUGACCUAUUCACCUCACUGUGACUAUUAAGCAAAAUGGAUAACUGUCUAGAGCUUGACCCCUUACCCUGACUCUUUUCUGUUUGCAGCCUAAAACAUCCUGCCUAUAAUUUUUAAAAGUUAGUUGACACAUCUCAUACAAAAAUAGAAGAAUGCCUUUAAGAUAUUCCUGAAAAUCUGCUAAUAAUUGUUAAUGAUCUCUGUGCCAAAUAACUCAUCCCUGAAGUUCUCAGAUAAGCCAUUUCCUUUACCCCAUGGUAUCCCACGGUGCAGAGAAGUUGUCCAGAGUUGUCAGCAUCGCAUCUUUGCGGGAGCUUCUAGGAAGCUGAGUCAGCUUCAGGCAAUAAGCUGGAAGUAUUUUCUCUGAUUUCUUCCUAUGUCCACAAUUCCACAGUGGACUCCCUACCCAGUAGCUGCAGUGCUAGCGAGUUUUAUUCUUAAAUGACAGAAGAGAAUCAGGAAAACUAUUCCACAUCCCAUCCUUCUUGGUCUGUCCAUGCACAGUGCGACAGGACCACACACUGACUUAGUGGCAUUGUAAGCAGGGUCUGUGUCAUUACUCUCCAACAGCCUCUUGGACUACUUGGGAUAGCUAGUAUGUGAAAUGUGGAUGUACAUCUAGUCUUACUGCGUGCAGCUUAAAUUUGUGUCUGUAGUUUGUGAAACAUAAAAACAAAUGGCUUAUUUAUGAAACUAGGUAUAAUAGCCACAGUGACCGGUUUAGAAGAGUACAAUUCAGAUGGUAUAAAUUAGGGACUUUAAGAAUUUUCAUGAGCAACUGCUACAUUUGCCUCCAGAGGACCUGGUCUUGUAAUGGCGAUUAGAUGGUGAAUACAGGUUUUGCAGGCUUCAAACAUGCAGGCAUUUUGAGCAAUCCUCAGGAAAACUAAUUCUGCUCCCAUAUGACCUCUGCAUGAGUUCAUUAAACAUCUCUGUUUAACAGUAUUAGUCCAACAGCAAUUAGGUCCAUGGCAUCCUGAUGGAUGCCUUCCUUGGGCCUCUUGCCCUCAUGGUCCCCAGUUGGAGGUCCUGGUGGUCCAGAAUAUGCAUCAGGAUCAAAUGGAUCUUUCUCAGAUUUGUACCCCAUCUGCAAAUCAUCCAAUUGCAUGUGCAAACAAACAAGCAUUAAAUUCCCUGUGAGAGGUUAUUUCUUGGUUAAGCUUCUGUUAAGCUAUGGGGAUAAACUGUUUUUGUUUAGCUAAUAUCGGCCUCCUAUAUGCAAAGACAUGAAAAUUGUUUGUGCCAGUGCCCAAUGACCAAAGCCUAAUCCUCAGUAUGAAUAUAUUGCAACUAUUUUGCAAGUAUUGUGGUAGACAAACCAUCCUACAGUAGUGCUUCUGGGCAUAAUUUUAUCUUGCGUUUUAUGCUGUAGCAUGAACAGUCCUUGUACUUGUUUUGUCAAUUCUGAGUUUGAACAGUAAAUAACUUUCUCCCGCAGGCCUCUUUUUAUUCUCAUUUUGUAUUCUUUCUCGUGUCCAAACAGCAAAGCCGCUAUCUAUCCCUAUAAGCAUCAGACUGGACGAAGCAAAUUCCCUUGCUUGACAAAUUUAAUUACUUAGUCAGAGGCAAAUUCUGGAUCUUUUUGGA